rnacentral:tRNA from 1 species
GUUUUAAUAAUUUAAAAAAAAUCUUAAUCUUGUAAAUUAAAUUUAAGCUUGGCUUUUAAAACA